GUGGGGAAUAUUGCACAAUGGGGGAAACCCUGAUGCAGCAACGCCGCGUGAGUGAAGAAGUAUUUCGGUAUGUAAAGCUCUAUCAGCAGGGAAGAUAAUGACGGUACCUGACUAAGAAGCUCCGGCUAAAUACGUGCCAGCAGCCGCGGUAAUACGUAUGGAGCAAGCGUUAUCCGGAUUUACUGGGUGUAAAGGGUGCGUAGGUGGCAGUGCAAGUCAGAUGUGAAAGGCCGGGGCUCAACCCCGGAGCUGCAUUUGAAACUGCAUAGCUAGAGUACAGGAGAGGCAGGCGGAAUUCCUAGUGUAGCGGUGAAAUGCGUAGAUAUUAGGAGGAACACCAGUGGCGAAGGCGGCCUGCUGGACUGUUACUGACACUGAGGCACGAAAGCGUGGGGAGCAAACAGGAUUAGAAACCCUAGUAGUCC
rnacentral:rRNA from 1 species